rnacentral:rRNA from 1 species
UACGUAGGGUCCAAGCGUUGUCCGGAUUUAUUGGGCGUAAAGAGCUCGUAGGCGGUUUGGAAAGUCGGAUGUGAAAUCUCUGGGCUUAACUCAGAGAGGUCAUCCGAUACUUCUAUGACUUGAGUCUGGUAGGGGAGUGUGGAAUUUCUGGUGUAGCGGUGAAAUGCGCAGAUAUCAGAAGGAACACCCGUGGCGAAGGCGGCACUCUGGGCCAGUACUGACGCUGAGGAGCGAAAGCGUGGGUAGCGAACAGG